rnacentral:rRNA from 1 species
GACGAACGCUGGCGGCGUGCUUAACACAUGCAAGUCGAGCGGUAAGGCCCUUUCGGGGGUACACGAGCGGCGAACGGGUGAGUAACACGUGGGUGACCUGCCCUCAGCUCUGGGAUAAGCCUGGGAAACCGGGUCUAAUACUGGAUAUGACUCCAUGACGCAUGUUGUGGGGUGGAAAGCCUUGUGCGGCUGAGGAUGGGCCCGCGGCCUAUCAGCUUGUUGGUGGGGUGAUGGCCUACCAAGGCGACGACGGGUAGCCGGCCUGAGAGGGCGACCGGCCGCACUGGGACUGAGACACGGCCCAGACUCCUACGGGAGGCAGCAGUGGGGAAUCUUGCGCAAUGGGCGAAAGCCUGACGCAGCGACGCCGCGUGAGGGAUGACGGCCUCGG